UACACCUCAACUUGCACUGCAUUAUGUGGGUGCACACUGUAUCGGUUCACAUCUAUCCUCCUACGUUAGUGUCAACCUGUCAUAUGUUGAUCAACCUGUGAUCUUAAUCUUUGUGCUGCGACAAAAAAAGACCAUGUGUGAGUGGAAGAACCUUCCUCUUUGAACUUCCUUCCUGGAGCUCAGUGAUUUUAGCCUCCAUUACAGCAAGAUGAUCAUACACACAAUGAUGAGCUUUACUCUGAUGAUGAUACCAGCUUUAUUUCUCUGCAGCCUCAGCUGGAUCUCUGUCUCAGGUUCUGAGUCUCAGACUGUGGAGGUCCAGCCUGGUGAAGAUGUCACACUGCUGUGCUCCAACUUUUCCAGUUCUCCCACUCAGACAGUCUGGUUCACACUGGAAAGUGGGGGCACAAGAGGAUUUUCUGCAAGAAAUGUGAGGAGAUUUUGCGCUGAAAAUGGGUCAAGCUUGAUGGGACUCCCUGACGCACAUUUGGAGUUAGAGGUGGCAAAAGCUAUAACCGAGAUGGGACCUACAUAUGGAAGAAGGAUGAUAAAGGGGUAUCUCGCUAUGAAAGGAGUGCAUGCAGCAGAGACACGAAUUGGAUCAGUGCUCAGAACUAUGCAUCAGCCUUACCAUGAAGCAAGACGUCAGGGUGCCCGCAAUCUCAACCCCAUACCAUAUCAAGCUGACUACAUGGGUCACAAGGUUCAUAUGGACCAAAAUGAAAAACUGGCUAUGUUUGGGGUCACCCAUGUUUUAGCCAUUGAUUGCUUCCGCAAAAAGGCCUGCAGUACUUGCCUAUGGUAUGUGGGACCAGGUGUGAGUAGAUCAUGGCAAGGAGUUUUAUUUGACGCUCUUCAUGCAGGAGCAGCUGUCAUCUCAUCGCCAUAAUCAGGAGAGAAGGCCUUAUUUACAGACUUCAUCCACAAGGAACCAUAUAGUUGAACGAGUCUGGCCUGAGGUCAACAAUUGUGUCAAUUAUCCACUGAAGACAGCCCUUCUGCAGUUGGUGGAUCAAGAGGAACUAGACAUGGACGACAACCUUGUGAGAUACUGUGUGUCCAACCUGACUGGCCAGUUGUGCCAGAUUGGUCUCACAAGGAUGGUGGACUCAUGGAAUGCUCACCGAAUUCCAGGUAAAGGUAUACCAAAUGACUUGGCUGGCAGUGGGUGUCCCAAAAAAAUCCCACAGGAGCUGUUGCCUCAUUCAGCUGAAGCAGCAGACCUUCACGGACAACAGCUGGGAUCCUCACUGACAACACAUUCUGCUUUUGGAGUUGAUCCAUUUUCAACUGAACAGGACAAACUUACAGUCGAGAAUCAGUUUGCAGAGAAAUAUUCGACAUUUCAGACUUAAUGGACCGUAACAUAUAUAUUUUUCAUUAACCCACCAGAACGAAUUUACUUAUGACAAAUCUUUGUGCAAUUUCAGAACCACAUAGUUGAACGAGUCUGGCCUGAGGUCAACAAUCGUGUCAAUUAUCCACUGAAGACAGCCCUUCUGCAGUUGGUGGAUCAAGAGGAACUAGACAUGGACGACAACCUUGUGAGAUACUGUGUGUCCAACCUGACUGGCCAGUUGUGCCAGAUUGGUCUCACAAGGAUGGUGGACUCAUGGAAUGCUCACCGAAUUCCAGGUAAAGGUAUACCCAAUGACUUGGCUGGCAGUGGGUGUCCCAAAAAAAUCCCACAGGAGCUGUUGCCUCAUUCAGCUGAAGCAGCAGACCUUCACGGACAACAGCUGGGAUCCUCACUGACAACACAUUCUGCUUUUGGAGUUGAUCCAUUUUCAACUGAACAGGACAAACUUACAGUCGAGAAUCAGUUUGCAGAGAAAUAUUCAGACAUUUCAGACUAGUUCUCUAGAGCAGUGAACAAUGACUUUGCUCCAUACAAAGAGGCAUUGCUCUAUCUCAUAACCACAACUCAGCGCAAUGUGUGAAAGGCCAUUGCUCUGUUUGAACUUACAGAAUGUAAAUGAGUAACAAGAACUAUAAGUUGGUGGCAAUGGGUGUUUGUUAAAGACAAAUGUUAAUAUAACUAAACAGUGAUGUCAAUAAGAACAGUGCUCACAUUUUCAACUUCCUUCUUCACACCAAUAUGACAUCAUCUAGCCCAAACAUUUUAAGAAAUUCACAUCAAUAGUACAAGAACUCUAACCCAAAUUUUUGAAUUGAUAAAUAAACGCAAACACAA